rnacentral:rRNA from 1 species
UCGAACGGGGAUAAGACAUCGGAAGAGCUGCUUGCAGAAUGGAAGAAGUCAUAUUCUAGUGGCGGACGGGUGAGUAACGCGUGGGCAACCUGCCUUAUACAGGGGGAUAACAGCUGGAAACAGCUGCUAAUACCGCAUAAGCGCACAGCGGCGCAUGACGCAGUGUGAAAAACUGAGGUGGUAUAAGAUGGGCCCGCGUCUGAUUAGCUGGUUGGGAGGGUAACGGCCUACCAAGGCGACGAUCAGUAGCCGGCCUGAGAGGGCGGACGGCCACAUUGGGACUGAGACACGGCCCAGACUCCUACGGGAGGCAGCAGUGGGGAAUAUUGCACAAUGGGGGGAACCCUGAUGCAGCGACGCCGCGUGAGUGAAGAAGUAUUUCGGUACGUAAAGCUCUAUCAGCAGGGAAGAAAAAAGGACGGUACCUGAGUAAGAAGCCCCGGCUAACUACGUGCCAGCAGCCGCGGUAAUACGUAGGGGGCAAGCGUUAUCCGGAAUUACUGGGUGUAAAGGGAGCGUAGACGGCAAUGCAAGUCCGGAGUGGAAUGCGGCAGCUCAACUGCCGAACUGCUCUGGAAACUGUAUGGCUUGAGUGCAGGAGGGGUAAGCGGAAUUCCCUGUGUAGCGGUGAAAUGCGUAGAUAUUAGGAAAAACACCAGUGGCGAAGGCGGCUUACUGGACUGUAACUGACGUUGAGGCUCGAAAGCGUGGGGAGCAAACAAAAGUAGAUACCCUGGUAGUCCACGCCGUAA